CACUGGUUAUGAAAACAGGGAAAAGAAAUUGAGUGACCUCCAAUGGAGGUUGGAGGAAGCCGUAACCAAAACGCUUAACAAAUGGGAUCUCAGUUUUUACGUGACCCUUUUUGUUCCCUUUUUUUUAUUCCAAACUUGGUCUCACCCACCCACCCUUCCUACUUGAAUACUAUGUGGUCAAUUUCAAGGAAUCUAAGUUUGCAAUGGUUGCUUGAUCGUAGUUUCCUCAUCCACUGUAGUCAUCGAACCUCUUUUUGACUUCCCAUUCAACUGCGUCUUUGAACCACUGAAAAAAUAAAUAAAUAAAGAAGCAAACGCACAUUCAUUCAUCCAAAUACCAAUAUUCAUAAUCUUCCCUGUUUCAAUUCGUUGUACCUUUGGGGGGUCAAAGAAACAAUACAGAGGAAGAUGGUGUCAGCGACGAUUGAUCUGUUGAAGAAAGAGCUUCCUGUUGAAGAAGGCUCUUUGGUUCUUUCGAAAGAUGUUAAGACUGGUCUUGUUCUUGUUGAUGUUGUUAAUGGCUUCUGCAGCGUUGGAGCUGGAAAUCUGGCUCCAGUGAAACCUGAUAAACAAAUAUCUUAUAUGGUUAAAGAAUCUGCGAGACUAGCCAAGCUAUUUUGUGGGGAAAAAUGGCCUGUUUUUGCUUUCCUUGAUUCCCAUCAUCCUGAUAUUCCUGAGCCUCCCUACCCACCUCAUUGCAUUGCUGGAACUGAUGAAGCUAGAUUGGUUCCUGAUCUCCAAUGGCUAGAGAAUGAAGCCAAUGCAACACUUAAAUGCAAAGAUUGUAUUGAUGGUUUCCUUGGUUCAGUUGAGAAAGAUGGUUCAAAUGUGUUUGUAGAUUGGGUUAAGAAGAAUCAGAUUAAAGCUAUUUUCGGUCUAUUCUCACCUACCUCGUUUGCAUUCUCAAGAUACUGGUUGUCGGCAUAUGUACAGACAUAUGUGUACUGGAUUUUGUAUGUUCCACUCUGUCGGCUCGAAAUCGUAGGAUGCUUACCCCUCUUGAGGAUGUGAUUGUCUACUCUGGUGCUUGUGCAACUUUCGAUCUUCCAGUUCAUGUUGCCAAAGAUAUCAAUGGUGCUUUGGCUCAUCCACAGGAUCUUAUGCAUCACAUAGGUCUAUACAUCGCCAAGGGAAGGGGGGCCAGGAUUGUAUCAGAGCUCUCAUUUGCUGCUCUAUAAACGACUUGUUAAUAAGAGAUCUAAGACUGCUGCAAAUUUGUAUUGUAUGUGAAGACUAUACAGUACAAUUAAAAGUAAUUAUCCCCCUCCAAAAAAUAAAAAUAAAGUUAUAAAUUGCUGUUUUUCCA